GCCGACAUAGCUCAGUUGGGAGAGCGUUGGUCUAAUAAGCCAUUGAAUCUUGAAGAUCUUAAGGUCCCUGGUUCGAUCCCUGGUGUCGGCA
rfam:Naegleria gruberi genomic scaffold NAEGRscaffold_61, whole genome shotgun sequence.